UACGGAGGGUGCGAGCGUUGUCCGGAAUCACUGGGCGUAAAGGGCGCGUAGGCGGCUUCUCAAGCGUGUGGUGAAAGUCCGGGGCUCAACCCCGGAUCGGCCGUGCGGACUGGGGAGCUCGAGUUCUGUAGAGGCGGGUGGAAUUCCGGGUGUAGCGGUGGAAUGCGUAGAGAUCCGGAAGAACACCGGUGGCGAAGGCGGCCCGCUGGGCAGAGACUGACGCUGAGACGCGA
rnacentral:rRNA from 1 species